AAUCCAUAGGUUAAUGAGGCGAACCGGGGGAACUGAAACAUCUAAGUACCCCGAGGAAAAGAAAUCAACCGAGAUUCCCCCAGUAGCGGCGAGCGAACGGGGAGGAGCCCAGAGCCUGAAUCAGCAUGUGUGUUAGUGGAAGCGUCUGGAAAGGCGCGCGAUACAGGGUGACAGCCCCGUACACAAAAGCGCAUGUGCUGUGAGCUCGAUGAGUAGGGCGGGACACGUGGUAUCCUGUCUGAAUAUGGGGGGACCAUCCUCCAAGGCUAAAUACUCCUGACUGACCGAUAGUGAACCAGUACCGUGAGGGAAAGGCGAAAAGAACCCCGGCGAGGGGAGUGAAAAAGAACCUGAAACCGUGUACGUACAAGCAGUGGGAGCACAGGUUUACCUGUGUGACUGCGUACCUUUUGUAUAAUGGGUCAGCGACUUAUAUUCUGUAGCAAGGUUAACCGAAUAGGGGAGCCGGAGGGAAACCGAGUCUUAAUUGGGCGUUAAGUUGCAGGGUAUAGACCCGAAACCCGGUGAUCUAGCCAUGGGCAGGUUGAAGGUUGGGUAACACUAACUGGAGGACCGAACCGACUAAUGUUGAAAAAUUAGCGGAUGACCUGUGGCUGGGGGUGAAAGGCCAAUCAAACCGGGAGAUAGCUGGUUCUCCCCGAAAGCUAUUUAGGUAGCGCCUCGUGAAUUCAUCUCCGGGGGUAGAGCACUGUUUCGGCUAGGGGGCCAUCCCGGCUUACCAACCCGAUGCAAACUGCGAAUACCGGAGAAUGUUAUCACGGGAGACACACGGCGGGUGCUAACGUCCGUCGUGAAGAGGGAAACAACCCAGACCGCCAGCUAAGGUCCCAAAGUCAUGGUUAAGUGGGAAACGAUGUGGGAAGGCCCAGACAGCCAGGAUGUUGGCUUAGAAGCAGCCAUCAUUUAAAGAAAGCGUAAUAGCUCACUGGUCGAGUCGGCCUGCGCGGAAGAUGUAACGGGGCUAAACCAUGCACCGAAGCUGCGGCAGCGACACUGUGUGUUGUUGGGUAGGGGAGCGUUCUGUAAGCCUGCGAAGGUGGCCUGUGAGGGUUGCUGGAGGUAUCAGAAGUGCGAAUGCUGACAUAAGUAACGAUAAAGCGGGUGAAAAGCCCGCUCGCCGGAAGACCAAGGGUUCCUGUCCAACGUUAAUCGGGGCAGGGUGAGUCGACCCCUAAGGCGAGGCCGAAAGGCGUAGUCGAUGGGAAACGGGUUAAUAUUCCCGUACUUGGUGUUACUGCGAAGGGGGGACGGAGAAGGCUAUGUUGGCCGGGCGACGGUUGUCCCGGUUUAAGCGUGUAGGUGUGUGUUCCAGGUAAAUCCGGUUCACUUUAACACUGAGGCGUGACGACGAGGCACUACGGUGCUGAAGCAACAAAUGCCCUGCUUCCAGGAAAAGCCUCUAAGCAUCAGGUAACAUCAAAUCGUACCCCAAACCGACACAGGUGGUCAGGUAGAGAAUACCAAGGCGCUUGAGAGAACUCGGGUGAAGGAACUAGGCAAAAUGGUGCCGUAACUUCGGGAGAAGGCACGCUGACACGUAGGUGAAGUGAUUUACUCAUGGAGCUGAAGUCAGUCGAAGAUACCAGCUGGCUGCAACUGUUUAUUAAAAACACAGCACUGUGCAAACACGAAAGUGGACGUAUACGGUGUGACGCCUGCCCGGUGCCGGAAGGUUAAUUGAUGGGGUCAGCGCAAGCGAAGCUCCUGAUCGAAGCCCCGGUAAACGGCGGCCGUAACUAUAACGGUCCUAAGGUAGCGAAAUUCCUUGUCGGGUAAGUUCCGACCUGCACGAAUGGCGUAAUGAUGGCCAGGCUGUCUCCACCCGAGACUCAGUGAAAUUGAACUCGCUGUGAAGAUGCAGUGUACCCGCGGCAAGACGGAAAGACCCCGUGAACCUUUACUAUAGCUUGACACUGAACAUUGAGCCUUGAUGUGUAGGAUAGGUGGGAGGCUUUGAAGUGUGGACGCCAGUCUGCAUGGAGCCGACCUUGAAAUACCACCCUUUAAUGUUUGAUGUUCUAACGUGGACCCGUUACCCGGGUUGCGGACAGUGUCUGGUGGGUAGUUUGACUGGGGCGGUCUCCUCCUAAAGAGUAACGGAGGAGCACGAAGGUUGGCUAAUCCUGGUCGGACAUCAGGAGGUUAGUGCAAUGGCAUAAGCCAGCUUGACUGCGAGCGUGACGGCGCGAGCAGGUGCGAAAGCAGGUCAUAGUGAUCCGGUGGUUCUGAAUGGAAGGGCCAUCGCUCAACGGAUAAAAGGUACUCCGGGGAUAACAGGCUGAUACCGCCCAAGAGUUCAUAUCGACGGCGGUGUUUGGCACCUCGAUGUCGGCUCAUCACAUCCUGGGGCUGAAGUAGGUCCCAAGGGUAUGGCUGUUCGCCAUUUAAAGUGGUACGCGAGCUGGGUUUAGAACGUCGUGAGACAGUUCGGUCCCUAUCUGCCGUGGGCGCUGGAGAACUGAGGGGGGCUGCUCCUAGUACGAGAGGACCGGAGUGGACGCAUCACUGGUGUUCGGGUUGUCAUGCCAAUGGCACUGCCCGGUAGCUAAAUGCGGAAGAGAUAAGUGCUGAAAGCAUCUAAGCACGAAACUUGCCCCGAGAUGAGUUCUCCCUGAGACUUAAAGUCUCC
rnacentral:rRNA from 1 species